rnacentral:rRNA from 1 species
GACGAACGCUGGCGGCGUGCUUAACACAUGCAAGUCGAACGGAAAGGCCCUGCUUUUGUGGGGUGCUCGAGUGGCGAACGGGUGAGUAACACGUGAGUAACCUGCCCUUGACUUUGGGAUAACUUCAGGAAACUGGGGCUAAUACCGGAUAUGAGCUCCUGCUGCAUGGUGUGGGUUGGAAAGUUUCGGCGGUUGGGGAUGGACUCGCGGCUUAUCAGCUUGUUGGUGGGGUAGUGGCUUACCAAGGCUUUGACGGGUAGCCGGCCUGAGAGGGUGACCGGCCACAUUGGGACUGAGAUACGGCCCAGACUCCUACGGGAGGCAGCAGUGGGGAAUAUUGCACAAUGGGCGGAAGCCUGAUGCAGCAACGCCGCGUGCGGGAUGACGGCCUUCGGGUUGUAAACAGCUUUCGCCUGUGACGAAGCGUGAGUGACGGUAAUGGGUAAAGAAGCACCGGCUAACUACGUG